CAGGACUUCCUGGAUUCCUAGUUUUGCGGGUUAUACUUCUGUGGUAGCAUUUUACGGGUUGGAGAGAUGGCUCGGUGGUUAUGAGUGUCGGCUGCUCUUUCAGGAUAACUGGGGUUCAACUCACAGUGCACCGUGCAGAGCAUCUUGCACUCACUUAACGACUUGGACUCCAGGGGGCUGCUACAGUAUUCUGACCUCCACAGCUUCUAAGCAUCUAAGUACCCUGUUUGUAUCACUCAUCUGAAAACGUGAUAGCCUUCUAACCCCUUUGCAAUGUACAAGAGCGCCGGGAGCAUGUUGUCCUCUGAGAGGAUCCACCCAGCAACUGACUCAGAGGGAUACAGACAUCAACAAUCAAACAGCAGAUGGAGCUUGGAAGACUAGGAGGAAGGAGGGCAUAGGAACCUCAUAGGAAGACCAACAGGGUCAACUAACCUGGACCCUGGGGGCUCUUGGAGACUGAACUACCAACCAAAGAACAUACACAGAUAGGCACAGGACCUAGGUCUCACACAUAUGUAGCAGAUGUGAAGCUUGGUCUUGAUGUGGGUCUUGAACAACUGGGACAGUGUCUAUCCCAAAAGCUAUUGUCUGCGUGUGGGCUAUGUUCUUCUAGCUGGGCUGCCUUGUCUGCCUUCAAUGGGAGAGGAAGUACCUAAACUCACAGAGACUUAAAGUGCCAGGGUGGGGUGAUACCCAGAGGCUCCCCACCUGCUCAGAGGAGAAGGGGAGGUGGGGAAGGGGGAAAGAUUGUGGGAAGGGUGACCUGGAGGGGGACAAUGAGCAGGAUGUAAAGUGAAAAAUAAAAAGGAAAAAUCAAGGAG
rnacentral:lncRNA from 1 species